CUGGCAGUUGGGGGAGAGUGAGUGAGGUUGGUGUGGAGGAAGACACAUUUCCUGCCCUUAGCUCUUUCCAAAUUGAGUAGAUAUCAACCCAAAUUUCCUCCAUAGGUUCUAGUUAUCUAAUCGACAUUUGUUGACAGCCAAGAAGACUCUACCACAGAAAAUGGCUUGGACUUCGAAGUCACCUCAAGUAGGCUCAGCCUACAGACUGAGGUGGCUAAGUCAUUUCUACCAUCAUCCUUUUGAGUAAUCAACGAGCUCUGACCUUGAUUCAACAACUGUUUGAUGGGCUUAGCUUAGUUUAGUUAGGCAGGAUGCUGGGAACUAGAUAGAGAAAGGGAGACAGAGUAGGUCUAACUGUGUUGGAUAUAGACCUGUGAGGGUCAGAAGGUACUGGGACAGGUAGUUUGGGAAAAGAUUGGGGAUCUUCCUAGCCCUUCAUCCUUUCCUUAUUUCCAGAAUAUCAACUUUAACAAAUGUAUUUUGUUGAUGAGAAAGUCAGAUAGCCUUUGUUGGUGAAUUCUAGGCAGGAGGGCACCCAUCUUACCCUCAGACCAGGAGGAGCAGCUAAACAGCAACAAGACACAAACAACCUUACUGCUGGUCAAACUUACCAUUUUAACACCUCUUAUCACUCUUUCAACUUAAAAUGACUUUGUUUUUCCUUUCUUCUAUCCCAAGCCUCAGUGAAGGGAGGAAAAGUUCAUUUGUGCCAUACUUUGAAGUGCUGUAAGAGAAGAUUUUUUUAUUUUGAAAAGAGAAGCCGACCUGAAAAGCUGGAGGAGUCUGCUGGAGUGGGGGAUGGGCAGGAAGGAGGCAGAACUUUGGAAAGGAGAGGAGCUGAUCAGUUGGAGAGGGACUUCUCUCUGGGAACCCCACGAGGGAAGUUGGACUUGGGUGGAUCUCCAACCCAGUACCCUCUCUUUCUGUGAAUCCUAACCCAAACACCCCAAGAGGAUAAUCAAGUGAUUAUUCAGCUGGAAGCUGUUCACAAGAAAAGGAUUUCCUCCAAAUCCUUCAAAGUCCUGAACUUCAUGAUAGUUGUCAGAGCAGACUAGAAGUCAGGGCUUCCUCACAUCUGACCACAAGGGGGUCAGGUCGACCAAUCCUGUUCUGCCAGACUUUUGGGGGAAAGAGUGUCAGUCAGAUAGGGACCCCUAUGCUCCCUCUUUCCUUUAUUUCAUUCCCAAACUCCUCUGCCCUACCCUUUGUCUUGUUCCCUCAAAAUAAGCCAGUUUAGUAAGAGCAAGUGAGUGACUUCAUCAUCUCUAGAGGGAAACUUGGAGUUGGGGAGAGGAAGGUGGCAUACCUCUCCCCAGGGAGGAAGAGGCUAACUAUAUCAAGCCCUUUAGCCAAGAUCUCUGAGGAAACAGAAGUAAAGGUCUAAAGGCAGCCAUAGUGGGGUUUGUCAGGGAGAGUUGAGGGGGAAGACAAUGCAUCUUCCCUUUCUCCUUUGACUUCACAACAUCUCUCCUCACUCUGAUACCGCCUUAAUAAGAGAAGAUUCCAUUUCCCUUCACUUAUAUCACAGUACCCCCCCCCAAUAUUUGUCAUCUUCUUCAUCUGUCAACCCUGCCAAUCUGAUGGGUGUGAGGAAAUAUGUCAGGAUCGCUUUACUUUGAAUUUCUAAAAUUAUUAAUGAUUUGGAACAUCUUUUCAA